rnacentral:rRNA from 1 species
AUGAAGCUGGAGCCCGGCAUGUCGGCCCUCGUCACCGGCGGCGGCUCCGGCAUUGGGAAAGCGCUUUGCAUUGCUCUUGCGCACAAGGGUCUAUUUGUGACUGUCGUCGAUUUCUCUGAAGAACACGGAGGACAAGUUGCGUCAUUUGUUCAAAAGGGAAGCAGCCAGAUUCAUGGAGAUUCUAAAGUUCCAUCUGCUAUGUUCAUCAAGUGUGAUGUUACUGAUGCAGAUGCUCUUGCUGCUGCUUUUGGGAAACAUGUAAACUUGUAUGGUGGAUUAGAUGUCUGCAUCAACUGUGCUGGAUUUGUCAACAAAUCCUUAGUUUAUGAUGAUACAUCCAAUGGAACCAAGACAUGGAGGCGUGCUGUAAAUGUGAACCUUGUUGCUGUUAUUGAUGGUACUCGCAUUGCAACUCAAAUGAUGCGUGCACAGAAGAAGCCUGGUGCCAUAAUAAAUAUUGGUUCAGUUGCUGGCUUAUACCCUAUGCACUAUGAACCCAUAUAUAGUGGGACAAAAGGUGGUGUGAUUAUGUUUACAAGAUCACUUGCUCCAUUAAAACGGCACGGCAUUCGUGUCAAUGUGAUCUGCCCUGAGUUUGUCCAAACAAAUAUGGGAGAACAAGUAAACCGCGUAUUAGUAGAUGCGCUUGGUGGGUUUUUGAAGAUGGAGGAUGUUAUUAAUGGUGCAUUUGAGCUUAUAGAAGAUGAGAGCAAGGCUGGUGCCUGCCUUUGGAUAUCUAAAAGGAGAGGCAUGGUGUACUGGCCAACAUCAGAGGAAGAAAAGAAGUAUUUGGUGUAUGCCACAAAGUCAAAAAUGACAGUAACAAAGAAUAGAUUCCCCAGCAUCCAGACACCUGAAUUCUUCGAGAAGAUAACGGUUCACACGCUCAGCCAUAAUUUCCGCAAUGCUACAAGAAUUGAUCGUGUGCGGCUGAGAUUGCCCAUGGAACCACAUAGUGCUCUUGUUAAAAUAAUAUACGCUGGUGUAAAUGCUAGUGACGUGAACUUCACUUCUGGCCGUUAUUUCAGUGGUAAUGCUAAAGAAGCUUCUGCACACCUUCCAUUUGAUGCUGGUUUCGAGGCUGUGGGAAUUGUUGCUUCUGUUGGAGAUUCGGUGAGACAUAUCAAAGUUGGCACUGCUGUGGCCCUUAUGACCUUUGGGGGCUAUGCCGAAUUUACAGUGGUUCCAGCCAAACAUCUUCUUCUGGUGCCAAGACCAGACCCCGAAGUAGUUGCUAUGCUAACAUCAGGAUUGACUGCUUCAAUUUCUCUUGAAAAGUCAGGUCAAAUGACAUCCGGACAAGUUAUUUUAGUUACAGCUGCUGCUGGUGGGACAGGACAGUUUGCUGUUCAGCUCGCUAAACUAGCUGGCAACAAGGUUAUUGCCACAUGUGGUGGCGGGAAUAAAGCUGCACUUCUGGCUUCAUUAGGGGUUGAUCGAGUCAUCAACUACCAACAUGAAAAGAUAAAAGAUGUUCUGAAAAAGGAGUUUCCAAGAGGUGCAGAUAUAGUUUAUGAAUCUGUAGGCGCUGAAAUGUUUGACUUGUGUUUGAAUGCACUUGCUGUCCGUGGACGCCUCAUUGUAAUUGGUAUGAUCUCUCAGUAUCAAGGAAAGGAUGGAUGGAUGCCACGGAAUUACUAUGGAUUGUGUGAGAAGAUUCUUGGAAAGAGCCAAACUGUGGCUGGAUUUUUCCUGAUUCAAUAUGCCGAUCUGUGGCAAAAACACCUUGACAAGCUUUUCGAUCUGCAUGCGUCUGGGAAGUUAAAGGUUUCCCUUGACCCCAAGAAGUUCGUAGGUGUUGCUUCUGUGGCAGACGCAGUAGAACAUCUCCAUUCUGGCAGGAGCGUUGGCAAGGUGGUUGUCUGCAUGGAUCCAGCAUACAGUCAGACCCUGGCUAAGCUAUAG